rnacentral:sRNA from 2 species
CCUGCCGCAGGUCCGGGUCUCACGUAGUGAGACAACGGAGCCGCUUGCGGCGACGGCCCGAAGGGCGAGCAAAGCGAGUCAUCCUGCACGACCCACCA